rnacentral:rRNA from 1 species
AGANGGUGCGAGCGUUGUCCGGAAUCACUGGGCGUAAAGGGCGCGUAGGCGGCGCGGUAAGCGUGCGGUGAAAGCCCGGGGCUCAACCCCGGGUCGGCCGUGCGGACUGCCGGGCUGGAGCACUGUAGAGGCAGGUGGAAUUCCGGGUGUAGCGGUGGAAUGCGUAGAGAUCCGGAAGAACACCGGUGGCGAAGGCGGCCUGCUGGGCAGUAGCUGACGCUGAAGCGCGACAGCGUGGGGAGCAAACAGGAUUAGAUACCCUGGUAGUCCACGCCGUAAACGAUGGGCACUAGGUGCCUGGGGGAGCGACCCCCCGGGUGCCGGCGCUAACGCAUUAAGUGCCCCGCCUGGGGAGUACGGCCGCAAGGCUG